rnacentral:rRNA from 1 species
AAGUCGACCUUGUACACACCGCCCGGUUCCGAUUGAUCCUGCCGGACCCGACUGCUAUCAGAGUGGGACUAAGCCAUGCGAGUCGACAUAGCAAUAUGUGGCAUACGGCUCAGUAACACGUAGUCAACAUGCCCAGGGGACGUGGAUAACCUCGGGAAACUGAGGAUAAACCGCGAUAGGUCAUCACUUCUGGAAUGGGUAAUGACUUAAACCUAUAUGGCCCCUGGAUUGGACUGCGGCCGAUCAGGCUGUUGGUGAGGUAAUGGCCCACCAAACCUGUAACCGGUACGGGCUCUGAGAGGAGGAGCCCGGAGAUGGGCACUGAGACAAGGGCCCAGGCCCUAUGGGGCGCAGCAGGCGCGAAACCUCUGCAAUAGGCGAAAGCUUGACAGGGUUACUCUGAGUGAUUUCCGUUAAGGAGAUCUUUUGGCACCUCUAAAAAUGGUGCAGAAUAAGGGGUGGGCAAGUCUGGUGUCAGCCGCCGCGGUAAUACCAGCACCCCGAGUGGUCGGGACGUUUAUUGGGCCUAAAGCAUCCGUAGCCGGUUCUACAAGUCUUCCGUUAAAUCCACCUGCUUAACAGAUGGGCUGCGGAAGAUACUAUAGAGCUAGGAGGCGGGAGAGGCAAGCGGUACUCGAUGGGUAGGGGUAAAAUCCGUUGAUCCAUUGAAGACCACCAGUGGCGAAGGCGGCUUGCCAGAACGCGCUCGACGGUGAGGGAUGAAAGCUGGGGGAGCAAGCCGGAUUAGAUACCCGGGUAGUCCCAGCUGUAAACGAUGCAGACUCGGUGAUGAAUUGGCUUAUUGCUAAUUCAGUGCCGCAGGGAAGCCGUUAAGUUUGCCGCCUGGGGAGUACGGUCGCAAGACUGAAACUUAAAGGAAUUGGCGGGGGAGCACCACAAGGGGUGAAGCCUGCGGUUCAAUUGGAGUCAACGCCGGAAAUCUUACCGGGGGCGACAGCAGAGUGAAGGUCAAGCUGAAGACUUUACCAGACAAGCUGAGAGGAGGUGCAUGGCCGUCGCCAGCUCGUGCCGUGAGGUGUCCUGUUAAGUCAGGUAACGAGCGAGAUCCCUGCCUCUAGUUGCUACCAUUAUUCUCAGGAGUAGUGGAGCUAAUUAGAGGGACCGCCGUCGCUGAGACGGAGGAAGGUGGGGGCUACGGCAGGUCAGUAUGCCCCGAAACCCUCGGGCCACACGCGGGCUGCAAUGGUAAGGACAAUGAGUUUCGAUUCCGAAAGGAGGAGGCAAUCUCUAAACCUUACCACAGUUAUGAUUGAGGGCUGAAACUCGCCCUCAUGAAUAUGGAAUCCCUAGUAACCGCGUGUCACUAUCGCGCGGUGAAUACGUCCCUGCUCC